rnacentral:rRNA from 2 species
CUAUUCGCUAAAGGGUGUUCGGGAGGCUACGCCGUAAAACAACCCCAUUUCUAAGGUUGACCUCGGAUCAGGUAGGGAUACCCGCUGAACUUAAGCAUAUCAAUAAC